rnacentral:rRNA from 1 species
AAUCAACGCUGGCGGCGUGCCUCAGACAUGCAAGUCGAACGAGAACCUCCCUUCGGGGAGGGGACAGUGGCGCACGGGUGAGUAACACGUGGGUAAUUUACCUUUGGGUGGGGAACAACAGCCGGAAACGGCUGCUAAUACCGCAUAAUGCAGCGGCUCGACAUCGAGACAGUUGUUAAAGCGGGGGAGUCGCAAGACCUCGCGCCUGAAGAGAAGCCUGCGGCGGAUUAGCAGUUGGUAGGGUAAUGGCCUACCAAGGCGACGAUCUGUAACCGGCCUGAGAGGGCGGUCGGUCACACUGACACUGACAUACGGGUCAGACUCCUACGGGAGGC